CACGUAGGGCGCAAGCGUUGUCCGGAAUUAUUGGGCGUAAAGAGCUCGUAGGCGGUUUGUCGCGUCGAAUGUGAAAACCCGGGGCUCAACCCCGGGCCUGCAUUCGAUACGGGCAGACUAGAGCUCGGUAGGGGAGUCUGGAAUUCCUGGUGUAGCGGUGAAAUGCGCAGAUAUCAGGAGGAACACCGGUGGCGAAGGCGGGACUCUGGGCCGAUACUGACGCUGAGGAGCGAAAGCGUGGGGAGCAAACGGG
rnacentral:rRNA from 1 species